rnacentral:rRNA from 1 species
AUUGAACGCUGGCGGCAUGCUUUACACAUGCAAGUCGAACGGUAACAGGUUAAGCUGACGAGUGGCGAACGGGUGAGUAAUGCAUCGGAACGUGCCCGGUCGUGGGGGAUAACACUUCGAAAGAAGUGCUAAUACCGCAUACGAUCUGAGGAUGAAAGCGGGGGACCGUAAGGCCUCGCGCGAUCGGAGCGGCCGAUGUCAGAUUAGGUAGUUGGUGGGGUAAAGGCCUACCAAGCCGACGAUCUGUAGCUGGUCUGAGAGGACGACCAGCCACACUGGGACUGAGACACGGCCCAGACUCCUACGGGAGGCAGCAGUGGGGAAUUUUGGACAAUGGGCGCAAGCCUGAUCCAGCAAUGCCGCGUGCAGGAAGAAGGCCUUCGGGUUGUAAACUGCUUUUGUACGGAGCGAAAAGGCUCUCUCUAAUACAGGGGGCUGAUGACGGUACCGUAAGAAUAAGCACCGGCUAACUACGUGCCAGCAGCCGCGGUAAUAC